ACGCUGGCGGCGUGCUUAAUACAUGCAAGUCAACUUGACUUUAGAUAGCAAUAUCGAAAAGUAGGGUGGCGCACGGGUGCGUAACGCGUAGGUAAUCUGCCCUGAGGUCUGACAUAACCCGUCGAAAGGCGGGCUAACAUCAGAUGAUAUAUAAUCACGACAUCGUGGAAAUAUCAAAUCUUCGGAGCCUUGGGAUGAGCCUGCGUCUGAUUAGGUAGUUGGCGGAGUAAUAGCCCACCAAGCCUACGAUCAGUAGCUGGUCUGAGAGGAUGAUCAGCCACACUGGAACUGAGACACGGUCCAGACUCCUACGGGAGGCAGCAGUAAGGAAUAUUGCUCAAUGGGGGAAACCCUGAAGCAGCAACGCCGCGUGAAGGAUGAAAUACUUUGUAUGUAAACUUCUGUAAGAUGGGAAAAUAUUCUCCUCGGGAGAAUUGAUUGUACCAUCAGAGUAAGCCCCGGCUAACUACGUG
rnacentral:rRNA from 1 species